CUAAUACUCUCUCCGUCUGGAAUUACUUGUCAUCAAAAUGGAUAAAAAUGAAUGUAUCUGGAACUAAAAAAUAUUUGGAUACAUCCAUUUCAAUGACAAGUAUUUCCGGACGGAGGGAGUACAUU
rfam:Triticum aestivum genome assembly, contig: Triticum_aestivum_CS42_TGACv1_scaffold_558593_7AL